UUCAGGAGUGAAGCUGCUCUCUGAUGGACUGAAGAAUCCACACUGUACACUGGAUAUACUGUGGAUGAUUGACUGCAGUAUUACAGAUAAAGGUUGUGCUGCUCUGGCUUCAGCUUUGAGGUCAAACUCCUCAACACACCUGAGACAACUGAAUCUAAACCGUAAUAAUCCAGGAGAAUCAGGAGUGAAGCUGCUCUCUGAUCUACUGAAGGAUCCACACUGUAAACUGGAGACACUACUCAUUAAGAAUAAGAAACUCACCAGGUCUGGUGUAUGACAGGAGUCUCUCCUCAG